AUGUUAUCUACACAAAAAAUAAAUAAAAUUACAGGAGAAAUAACAAAAGAUGAUAAUAAUAAUAAUAAUAAAAAAUUGUUACUUUAUAAUAAAUUAGAAGCAUUACAUAAUAUAAGUUAUUUAUAUAAGUUAAUGAAAAAAAAUGAUGCAUAUAUUUAUAUAAAAAAAAAGAAAUUUAAUUUUUUAUUGAAAAAGAAUGGACAAAUGAAUAAAUUAAAUAUUUUUAAACUAGGUUAUAUAAUAUUUGUUUUUCUAAUUUUAUGUUUAUGUACUUAUUUAAUAAUAAAAGUUGAGAAUGAUAUGUUUGGGAUAUAUAUAUAUUUAAGCUAUUUUAAUUUUAAUAUUGAAGGUGUUUUAGUUGACUACAAUGACAUGUUAAAUAUAUUAAAAUUUAAAAUAGGUCAAUUAUAUAUUUAUACUUUUUUUAUUAUUCUACCAUUUUUAUUUCCAAUUAUUACUGUUAUUUUUUUAUUUUUAAGUAUAUUUUUUAUGAAUUUAUAUUAUAUAAACUUUUCUAUGAAAUAUAAAAAAAAUAAUAAUUUAUUUAGUGAUGAAUUAAUUAUAUAUCCAGAAGUUGAAAGUAAUCAAAAAAUGAUGCUAUCAGAGCGAUAUAAUUAUUUAUUUAUAAAAAAAGAAUUUGAAAAAAAUGACAAUUUAUCAAAUACAUCAGAUGAUACAUCCUCUUAUAAUGGUAGUACUAUAUCGAGUAGUAAAAGUGAAGUUAUAAAUACAAGUUUUAUACAUAAUAAAAUUUUAAAUUUUUAUUUUUUUUUAUCAGUUUUUUUUUCAUUUCUUUGUUCAUUUUGUCUUCAUCUAUCUUUAGGAGAAAUAAUAUCAAUAGCGUUAUUAACAUUUUAUCAAAUAGUGAAACAUACAAAUAAAUUAAAUAUAAUAAUAUUAUAUAAAAGUUCUAAAACAUAUUUUUGUAAGUUUUUAGUAUUUUUUAUUUAUGCUUUAUUUUGUUUUACUAUUAAUUUGUAUGUAAAGCGUUGGAGUAUUUAUGUAAAUAAAUUAAAGAAGCUUAAGAAAAAAAUUUUAUUAUUUGAAAAAAAUAGAUACAGUGAAAUAAUAGAUUUGAAUAUACAAAAAUUACAAAGAUAUAAUAAUACAGAUUCAGUAACUAUAUUUUCUUUUUUUUUUGAUUUUAUUUAUAAUAAAAAAAAAUGGACAAAAAUUGAUGAUGGUGGUAGUAGUAGUAGUAGUAAUAAAAGCAGUACCAGUAGUAUUAGUGGUAAAACUAGUGCCAAUACUCGUAAUAUAAUGAUCAAUCAUGAGAUUGCUAGUAGUGCUAAUAAUUUUAAAAGGAAUUAUAAUGAUACUAGUAAUAUGUAUAAAUAUAAUACAUUAUUCGAUCAUCAGUCACUUUUUGGUAGUACCACUUUAUAUCCUAUCAACGAACAAGCAAUGUUAAGUGGAAAUCAAAACACAAUUAUUAUUAAAGAGGAUGACGAACCUUAUUCUUUUAAUAUAGUUAAACAUAAAAAUCAACAACAAGCUUUUAUUCAUAAUAAUAAAUAUAUUACAUUUUAUAAUGAUUUACAAAAUGAACUAAUAUCAGGAGUAGGUUCUUAUGGAGAAAGAGACAUAUAUGCAAGUGGAAUGCGAUUUGAUGACAAUUAUAAUUAUAUGAGAGAUUAUAAAUAUGUAGAAUAUAUACGAAAUAAUGAUUCGUUUGAAAGUAAUAGGAAUAUAUAUGGUACUGGUAAUAACCCACGAGGUUUUAGUGGUAAUAAUCCACAUAGUUAUAAUAAUAUUGAAUUUGACAAUAAUAGUGAUAUUUAUAUAUAUAACAACGAAAGAUAUGAAGACAGUGAUUCGUAUAGUUUCAAUGGAUAUAGUAAUGAUGAAAAUAAUAAUUUUUACAAUACAAUUGAAAAACACGAAAAAAAUAUUAUACCAAUUAAAUCUUCUCUUCUAACUCAGUUUGAUAAAAAUAAAAAUUUAAAAAAAAAAAAAAAAGAAAUUCCACUUCAGAUGGAUUUUCUAUUAAAAGUAAAAUAUAUCAUUUUCUUUUUUUUUCUAUAA
ensembl:lncRNA